rnacentral:rRNA from 1 species
GAUGAACGCUGGCGGCGUGCCUAAUACAUGCAAGUCGAGCGAACAGACGAGGAGCUUGCUCCUCUGACGUUAGCGGCGGACGGGUGAGUAACACGUGGAUAACCUACCUAUAAGACUGGGAUAACUUCGGGAAACCGGAGCUAAUACCGGAUAAUAUAUUGAACCGCAUGGUUCAAUAGUGAAAGACGGUUUUGCUGUCACUUAUAGAUGGAUCCGCGCCGCAUUAGCUAGUUGGUAAGGUAACGGCUUACCAAGGCAACGAUGCGUAGCCGACCUGAGAGGGGGAUCGGCCACACUGGAACUGAGGCACGGUCCAGACGCCUACGGGAGGCAGCAGUAGGGAAUCUUCCGCAAUGGGCGAAAGCCUGACGGAGCAACGGCGCGUGAGUGAUGAAGGGCUUCGGAUCGUAAAACUCUGUUGUUAGGGAAGAACAAAUGUGUAAGUAACUGUGCACGUCUUGACGGUACCUAAUCAGAAAGCCACGGCUAACUACGUG